rnacentral:lncRNA from 1 species
CAAGGCACAGAGAAGUUGGGUAACCUGCCCAGGACCACAGAGACAGCAGGUUAGAGUGUCAGGAGUUAACCCAAGACAGCUUCCCUCCAGAGGGCACGCCCUUGCCCAUCGCUCUGUACUUACCACCUCCUCAGGAACUGGAUUUGGAGCUCUGAAGACAACCCUUUGAAGCCCUGUGGCUCCUGGGACAGCGCCCCUCCUAUAUCCAACGGGAUAAUAGAGGGUGCCCAAAAGCAGAAGAGAUACGUGCAAGAUGCACGUUCACGCUGUUCCUUGCCACCUCAUUGGCAUCCCAUUCAAGAUGCUCACUGGCACAGAAUUCCAGUGAGCCCGCAUUGCAUGGGAGUUCAGCAAGACCCAACGCAAGUACAAAGUAAGCAUGUUCUGUCUGACUGAGUGAGAAGGGGUGCUGACUGCUCUGAAGGGCCAAGCUUUCCACUUGAAUCAGAACUUUUUCAAAUGCAGAAGAAAGGCAAUGGCACUCUAAGACACAUGAACAACCAGGAGUGCUAACAUAUCUUUGUUACUCGUUAU